ensembl:lncRNA
CCGCUGUACACGCAUGGCUUUUCCCCCCAUCUAUUCUUAUGCUUAUCCUUAUCCUUCCUGGUUUUGGACGAGACGUUCAUAUUUAACUGUAAUGCAAAAUAAAAACGAAUGGAAAAUAAAAGUCCUUGGGAAAAAACAGACACCUGUUUCCCAUUAAACCUUGAUGAUUCUUGAUCAUUGUGGGACGUGUAUGAAUGAACGGAAAAGACGCGAUUGGAUGUCCAUACUUCGUUUUAUCUAUAAAAAUCUUGACUUUGAAUGUCCUCCUGUGUGAAGAUCAGUGGAUCAGGUGGAUGAUGGCACAACCCGACCAAAGAAGCAGGAGAUUUUAAGCAGGAACGCCUGGUUACCAACAAGAAGACCCUAACAACGCCUGGAGCAGACUGUCAUUAACAAAAGUAAACAAUGACAGUCUGACAAAUACACUGCGAUUAAAUGGAAC